rnacentral:lncRNA from 1 species
CCCCCCUUUUCCCCACUUAGAAUCGUGCCGAGGGAUCUGGAGACGUCCUAGAGAGGUUUGGGGGCAUCCAGGGGGUUCUGGACUCAUGCAGAAGAGUCUGGAGAUGUCCAAGGAGGAUCCAGGGAGUCCCCAGGCCUGCCUGCAGCCGGACCCGGUGACACCGGAGCCCUGUGGCGCUGUCACCAUCCUCUGUCCCGAGGACGGGAGGUGAACUGUGUGCCACCAGCAGAGGGGACCACGGGUGACAUCAGUGUGGAACAGCCGUGACGCGGCGGCGUUGUCAUUGGGUGUCACCGUCACGCAGAGGGGACAAAAGGACCCCCCUGGGGGCAUUGCGUCGAAGUUGGGGACACCGUGAGCAGCUUGAGGACUUCCCAGGGGAAGUGGGGGCACCGCGUCACCGUGUCACACCCCAAAGGUGGGGAUGCCCCCGCAGUGUCACACCCCAAAGUUGGGGACGCCCCCACAGUGUCACACCCGAAAGUUGGGACAGCUCUGUGUCACCCCGAUGGUGUCAGACACCAAAGUUGGGACACCCCAAAGUUGGGGUCUGUCCCAGAGGUGGGAGUGCCCCCACAUCCCCACCAUGGCGUCACAUCCCAAAGUUGGGGACCCCCCAUCUGGGGACCCAUUCUGUGCUCCCCCAAUUGCAGACAGCACUGUUCCCAUGGGGUGGGGGCGGGGGGCACCCUUUAUUUUUGGGGUUAAGGUUUAUUUUGUGAUAACGGGGGGUUGGGGGAUGCCCCCCCCAUGUGAAUAAAGGGCAGAGGAGCGGC